rnacentral:rRNA from 1 species
UACGUAGGGCGCAAGCGUUGUCCGGAAUUAUUGGGCGUAAAGAGCUCGUAGGCGGUCUGUCGCGUCGGCUGUGAAAUCCCGAGGCUCAACCUCGGGUCUGCAGUCGAUACGGGCAAACUAGAGUAUUGCAGGGGAGACUGGAAUUCCUGGUGUAGCGGUGAAAUGCGCAGAUAUCAGGAGGAACACCGGUGGCGAAGGCGGGACUCUGGGCCGAUACUGACGCUGAGGAGCGAAAGCGUGGGGAGCAAACAGG